rnacentral:rRNA from 1 species
UACGAAGGGGGCUAGCGUUGCUCGGAAUCACUGGGCGUAAAGCGCACGUAGGCGGAUUGUUAAGUCAGGGGUGAAAUCCUGGAGCUCAACUCCAGAACUGCCUUUGAUACUGAAGAUCUUGAGUUCGGGAGAGGUGAGUGGAACUGCGAGUGUAGAGGUGAAAUUCGUAGAUAUUCGCAAGAACACCAGUGGCGAAGGCGGCUCACUGGCCCGGUAUGACGCUGAGGUGCGAAAGCGUGGGGAGCAAACAGGG